GACGAACGCUGACGGCGUGCUUAACACAUGCAAGUCGAACGGAAAGGCCCUGCUUUUGUGGGGUGCUCGAGUGGCGAACGGGUGAGUAACACGUGAGUAACCUGCCCUUGACUUUGGGAUAACUUCAGGAAACUGGGGCUAAUACCGGAUAGGAUCUCCUGCUGCAUGGUGGGGGUUGGAAAUUUCCGGCUGUGGGGGUUGGAUUCGCGGGUUUCCAGUUGGUUGGUGGGGUAGUGGCUUUCAAAGCCUUUGACGGGUAGCCGGCCUGAGAGGGUUACCGGCCACAUUGGGACUGAGGUACGGCGCAGACUCGUACGGGAGGCAGCGGGGGGGAAUAUGACACAAUGGGCGGAAGCCUGAGGCAGAGACGCCGCGUGCGGGAUGACGGCUUUCGGGGUGUAAACAGCUUUCGCCUGUGACGAAGCGUGAGUGACGGUAAUGGGUAAAGAAGCACCGGCUAACUACGUG
rnacentral:rRNA from 1 species